rfam:Acinetobacter tandoii DSM 14970 = CIP 107469 genomic scaffold acPFI-supercont1.23, whole genome shotgun sequence.
CCCAUGCAGUUCAUCGAGCAUGGAUAGGAUAUGCAGGAAAGCAAGAAUCAGAUUUGGGAGUGAUGCCCCGCCAAAAAAUGAAUACGAAAGCUGAAAACUAAAAAUACUGUGCCUAUCCAGUGGUUUUUAAAGUAAGCGAGUAGCCGUGGACCACAGCACUGAGCUUCUGUGGUU